rnacentral:rRNA from 1 species
GAUGAACGCUGGCGGCGUGCCUAAUACAUGCAAGUCGAGCGAACAGACGAGGAGCUUGCUCCUCUGACGUUAGCGGCGGACGGGUGAGUAACACGUGGAUAACCUACCUAUAAGACUGGGAUAACUUCGGGAAACCGGAGCUAAUACCGGAUAAUAUAUUGAACCGCAUGGUUCAAUAGUGAAAGACGGUUUUGCUGUCACUUAUAGAUGGAUCCGCGCCGCAUUAGCUAGUUGGUAAGGUAACGGCUUACCAAGGCAACGAUGCGUAGCCGACCUGAGAGGGUGAUCGGCCACACUGGAACUGAGACACGGUCCAGACUCCUACGGAGGCAGCAGUAGGGAAUCUUCCGCAAUGGGCGAAAGCCUGACGGAGCAACGCCGCGUGAGUGAUGAAGGUCUUCGGAUCGUAAAACUCUGUUAUUAGGGAAGAACAAAUGUGUAAGUAACUAUGCACGUCUUGACGGUACCUAAUCAGAAAGCCACGGCUAACUACGUG